rnacentral:rRNA from 1 species
GAGUUUGAUCCUGGCUCAGAUNNAACGNUGGCGGCAGGCCUAACACAUGCAAGUCGAGCGGNAACGAGUUAACUGAACCUUCGGGGAACGUUAACGGCGUCGAGCGGCGGACGGGUGAGUAAUGCCUGGGAAAUUGCCCUGAUGUGGGGGAUAACCAUUGGAAACGAUGGCUAAUACCGCAUAAUAGCUUCGGCUCAAAGAGGGGGACCUUCGGGCCUCUCGCGUCAGGAUAUGCCCAGGUGGGAUUAGCUAGUUGGUGAGGUAAUGGCUCACCAAGGCGACGAUCCCUAGCUGGUCUGAGAGGAUGAUCAGCCACACUGGAACUGAGACACGGUCCAGACUCCUACGGGAGGCAGCAGUGGGGAAUAUUGCACAAUGGGCGCAAGCCUGAUGCAGCCAUGCCGCGUGUAUGAAGAAGGCCUUCGGGUUGUAAAGUACUUUCAGCAUUGAGGAAGGUGGGUAUGUUAAUAGCAUAUUCAUUUGACGUUAGCUGCAGAAGAAGCACCGGCUAACUCCGUGCCAGCAGCCGCGGUAAUACGGAGGGUGCGAGCGUUAAUCGGAAUUACUGGGCGUAAAGCGCAUGCAGGUGGUUUGUUAAGUCAGAUGUGAAAGCCCGGGGCUCAACCUCGGAAUUGCAUUUGAAACUGGCAAACUAGAGUACUGUAGAGGGGGGUAGAAUUUCAGGUGUAGCGGUGAAAUGCGUAGAGAUCUGAA